rnacentral:rRNA from 1 species
UACGUAGGGUGCAAGCGUUAAUCGGAAUACUGGGCGUAAAGCGUGCGCAGGCGGCUUUGCAAGACAGAUGUGAAAUCCCCGGGCUCAACCUGGGAACUGCAUUUGUGACUGCAAGGCUAGAGUACGGUAGAGGGGGAUGGAAUUCCGCGUGUAGCAGUGAAAUGCGUAGAUAUGCGGAGGAACACCGAUGGCGAAGGCAAUCCCCUGGACCUGUACUGACGCUCAUGCACGAAAGCGUGGGGAGCAAACGAGG